rnacentral:rRNA from 1 species
UGUGUAGGCGGUUGUCUAAGUUUGGUGUGAAAUCUCCCGGCUCAACUGGGAGGGUGCGCCGAAUACUGAAUGACUAGAGUGCGGGAGAGGAAAGUGGAAUUCCUGGUGUAGCGGUGAAAUGCGUAGAUAUCAGGAGGAACACCGGUGGUGUAGACGGCUUUCUGGACCGUAACUGACGCUGAGACACGAAAGCGUGGGUAGCAAACAGGAUUAGAUACCCUGGUAGUCCACGCCCUAAACGAUGCAUAUUUGGUGUGGGCAGUUCAUUCUGUCCGUGCCGGAGCUAACGCGUUAAAUAUGCCGCCUGGGGAGUACAGUCGCAAGGCUGAA